rnacentral:lncRNA from 1 species
CGCGCCGAGCUCCGGCACCAGUCCCCGGAACGCCGCGACGUCGUGCUCCUCGUCGCCGGCGAGGCUGCGGAGGUCGCCGCCGUCGGCCUCGGCCUCGACGAAGGCGACGGCGGCGGCGGAGCAGUCGACGGCGACGUCGCCGGUGGCGGGGAGGUAGGCGAGCUUGCCGGCGAGGGGGAGGAAGCGGCGGAGGGUGGCGGAGAGGGAGGAUUUGAGGGAUUGGAGGAGGGCGGGGAAGGGGGGCAGGUCGGGGGAGGGCUCGUAGAUGAGGAUGCGCUGGAUCGGGGGGUAGGCGAGCCAGUGGGUGUCGAAGAGCGAGAGCUUGAUUAAGUUCCCGGGAGGGUUUGGGACGGGGGCGCCAUCCGGGAGUGGGACGUGGCUCACGUUAAGAAUCCGCACCUCCCACAUCAGAAACUGCAAAUUAUGAUGAUGGAAAAAUAACGGAGAUCAAGAAGAGGACGAAGCAGCAGCAGCAGCAGCAGCCGCAGCAGAGAGCCGGAUUAUGAACUGGUGGCUGAAUCGAACGCAGAAGAAGACUAUCAAUACACGCAACUAUAUAUAUAAAUUAUUAUAUACACAUUGCUUUCAAUUCUUUUAAAAAAUAAGACUAAAUUACAUAAAAUCUCCUAUCAAAACAUAAUUUUUUUUUUUUUGUCAUUAAAAAUCUACACUUUAUUUUCAUUAUAAAAUAAAAAAUAGUAAUAAAAAAUUAUGGUGUAAAUUAUGAUGAUAAAAUAAUCAUUUUAUCCCUCAUCAUUUUUUAUAACAAAAGAGAAGUCUAUGAACAUUUUUAGCAUAAAAAAUAUAUAAUAAUAUUUUAUAAGCGGAAUCUAACAAAUCACUAACGGUAGGAGAUGAAAUGAAUAUUUUUUAUUUUGUAAUGAAGGACAAAAUAUAGAUUUUUAAAUAACAAAACAAAUAAAAAAUUAAAUUUUAACAAAAAAAAAAAUCUGUAAUUUAGCCAAGGAAUAAUACCCCACACACACACACACCAAAAGGGUUAUACAAUGUACACUUUAUUGAUCUACUAUCCAUGUGAUUAAUAAAAGUCAUUGUACGUCAUACAUGCCAUUAGUAAGUGAACAAAUAGUUAUUUUUUUAAAAAAAAAUCAACUAUACAAACGGGGAAUAAAUAAAAUUACAAAUUUACCGAUCGUCCGUAGAGCAAGUGAUAAAGAGGUUGAUAGUUGGUACCCGAGAUCCAAGUUCGAUUCAUAGUUGAUUCAUAUUUUCAACUAAAUUUAUUUCUAAAUAAAAAAAAAUAAAGCUUCUAAAGAAAAAUAAAUUUAUUCCUCAUAAAUUUUAACCAUUAAAUAUAAAUUGGAGUUCUCUUUGUUACAGUUUAUUCUUUUUCUCCUUGGGAAUUGGGAUAGUGUAGCGGUGACGAUCGCCUUUUUUGGAAAACCUUCUUAAUUGCUUUGACGAGCUCACCAUUGUCGAUCCGGCCCAGCUUAGCUGCUCGUCUUCGCGCUUAGUAAAUAUUUUAUCUAAUAAUAAAUAUUUUAUUCUUACCUAAUCUAUAUAUUUUAUAUUAAAUUUAAAUUUUUUUUAUUUAAUAUAUAAUUUAGAUAUAAAGAUAUUAUUUUUCAAGAGUAUUUAAUGAGCGAGAGUACAACAUCCCCAUGUAUUCGCUGUCACGUGUGGAUGAGGCAAAUGGUUGGCUCUGUUUGAUUGGUUAACCGCGAGGGGGCGCUCUUCCAAUAUUAUGUACCCUAAGCCAUUUUUUAAGCUAAAAAAAUAAAUAAAAAAAUUAAUUGAACAUAAGAUAGUAGAAUUAAUAAUAUCAACAAUACCUACUUUGGCUUCUGUAUUUACUUUAUUUUAAAAAUAUUAAUUAUAUAAUAAUAAUUUUAUGAGGCGGCAUUUAUUUUAUUUUAAAAAUGUUAAUUAUAUAAUAAUUUAAUGUGGCGGCAAAGACAUUUUUUCUUAUUGUCAUAUUUGAUUAGUUAACGAUACAUUAUGAUUAAAUGACAGAUGUUGAGUUAUUAUAACAAUACAUUAUGAUUAAAUGACAAAUGUCGAGUUAACAAAACAUUAUGAUUUUUAAAGAUACGUAAUCCAAAUUUUCCACAGCAUUGGAGUGUUGGCGAAAGAGUGGGCUGACUUCAGUCGAGUUUGGUGACGUUUUACUUGUUGGGCUGUAUAGUGUUUUUGUCACCUGUGGUCGAUUGGUCGUCAGUCUUUCUUUUUUUCUUUUUUUCCUUUUGCUACUCUUUUUUUUUUUUUUCUGGUCUUCGCGUCUUUUUGAGGCCUUAGCUGCCUCGCCCUUUAUAGCUAAUUUUAUUUACUGAAUGAAUGAAGCGGAUGGCAUGCUACCUUCCUCUCUAAAAAAAAAAAAAAACAAAACAUUAUGAUUAAAUGACAGAAUUGUACGCAAUCAAUCACUAAUAAGAACAUAAUUAAACGCCUCAUCUGUAAUACAAUUUUAAUUAUGAUAUCGCAUAACAAAUAUGACCUCCUCAAUAGUUAAUUAAUCAGCAAGGGUCUGGUCGGCCUCGUUGAGAAAGUGAGCCUUAAACGCAUCGAUGUGGUUCGGGCUCAGCGACACCGACACUUGGACCCCACCGUCCCGGCCCCCGACCAGCACGAUCUCCCCGUCGUGGUUCAUGGACACCAGCCGAAGUCGGUCUCGUACACCCUGAACCGGGGCGACGCCGCCACGUUGGCGAGCCGGUCCAGCGGGAGCACCAUAAACCGGUCCAUCCAGUUAUGAGACAUCGGGUCAUCCAGCGCCUCGCGGAUCGCCGCUUGGAUCGCCGAGGAGGCGCGGGGGAGCGCGUCGGGGCCGGAGAACUCGCCAGCUGGCGCCGUCGCGAAGCAGCCCUUGAUCAAAUUACCGAAGUACCCCUCGUCGACCGGGGGGUCGAGCCGGGUCCGGACGUCCGCGAGGAAGCAGAGGUGGGCGUCGCCGCCGGCCCGGUCCAGCGACUUGGACCGGACGAAGGCGGUCCACGCCAGGGCCGACACCGCCACGAACGUCGAGGGGGGCUGCUGCGGCGCCACGUGGCCCUGCGUGAUUCGCUGCUUCAGCCACUCGAUGCGCUCCGGGGUGACCACGAAGGUUCGCCGCGAUAGCAUGAAGCGGCCUUCAAAAGCGAGAUUCGCAGAGCGCAACUGUUUUUUUUUUUUUUUUUGGUGCAUUGAAAGAAAUAAAAAAUGUUAGACUCCAUGUAAUCACUAAUUACGAAUGUGUAACGUAAUGCCAUCACGAUUCUUAAAAAAAAAUCAUUUAAUCUCGUAUUCGGUUAAUUCUUUUAAAAAAUGUGUUAAAUUAUUAAGACAGAUCAAAUAACUCAAAUGCAAUAAAAAAAAUACUAAUAAACAUAUCAGUGAGACAUUUAAACAGUCAAAUAUUACUUUUGAUAUCAUAAAUUAUAUUAGCUUAAAUUUUGAAUUCAAAAUAUUGUUGACUAAAUCAUAUCAAAUAAAUUAAAAAGUAGAUAGUAAUAUUAAAAUUUUAUAAGAUGAAAUAGUAAAUUUAAAAUAUUUUAUAAUACAUAUAAGUUUUAUAUGUUUUUAUUAAGAAUUUAUUGUGUAUUCACGGUCUUCCCGAGAAGGAACUUUAUUGUGUAGCAGCUACGUAUCGAUAUCAUUUAUAACUAGUCAAUCGUAUUUUUAUUUUUGAGAAGGAAAAUACAGUAAAAAUAUUUUUCUAAAAAUUAUAAUAAAAUAAAAUGGAUGAAAUUUAAAAAUAUUAAUUGAUUGGUUGGAAACGCCACGUGAGUAAUAUGGCUAAUUGACUGCUGUAUUUCUAGAUCAUGAGUAGCUAUUAGAACUUUUUUUAGUUAUCUUACAUUUUAAAAUUCGUACCACAAUUCUGAAAUAACUGUUACUUGAUAAAAGUUUAAGCUAUCAAAAUAGAUUUUAUUUUAAUAUAAUAUAUUUAUAAUAACCAUCUUAAUAUAGAAAAAUUUUUGGCAUGGUUUAUGUGGCUGAACCAAAAGAGCACAACUACCUGAUCUUUGCAGAUUUUAUUGUCUAACUAUAUAAAAAAUUAUAUCUAAAAAUUAUAUACUUAAAAUAGCCUAAUCCCAAUCUUUCUGCCAAAUUAGUGGAUAAUGAGAGGGAAGGUAGGGAUGAAAAGGAAAAAAAAAAAAGAAAAAAAAGUGAGGCCCAACUCCACCGCACCUACCCCGAAAUUAACAUGGAGAUGUCAAAUAGUAUUGGGACUCGAGGUUCAUAUAUGGUUAUAGAUUAUAAAUGUUGUUGCAAUGGAUAAGGACUCGAAAAGAGUAUGUGCAUCCCAACAUUAAGGCAUGUUUGUUUCAAUGAAAGUGGGGCGAAAGUGGAGAGGAGGGAAGUCGGUUUCGCCCUAAACGAUCAUUUCUGUUAUUGGCUUGCCGUAAAAAAGUUACGGUCGAAACUCGAGUUAAUCUCAAACGGCGUAAUUUGCUUCAUCCCAUCGGGGGCGAAGUCGAUUACGGUAAAAAUAGAUAAAAAAUUAAUAAAAUAAUAUAAUAGAUAAAGCUAUUAUAUUUAAAUAUAUUUAAUUAUGUUACUAAUUAUUUUCUUAUUCAGUUAAUAUAUCUAAAAUAUGAUAAAAAUCGAUUAGUUAAGUUUUAAUAUUUUUUUUAUUUAGUUUGUACAUUUAAAAUAUGAUAAAAAUUGAUUAAUUAAGUAUUAAUAUUUUUUUGCUUUAUAAUUUUAUUAUUGUAUUACUAUAAUUUAUGUAUAAAAAAAUAAUUUAGUUGUUUUAAAUUAAAUUUUAAUUAUAUAAAAAUAUAAUUAUAUUAUUUUUAUUUAUUAAAAUAUUUAUUAUUUAUAUAUAAAUUAUAGUUUUAUAUUAUACACUUCCUACCAAACAAACAGCAGAACUGAUACAACUUCACUUCCAUAACUACGAAACAAAAAGCAGAAAAGAAAUAGUUUUUACCGAACUCCAGUUCAACCCAAAGUCCACUUCAACCCAUAGUCUACAUGUUUGUUUGGGUGGAAGUAGGGUGGAAGUGAAGAGGAGGGAUGUCAUUUUUGCCCUAAACGACUACUUCCGUUAUUUGGUUUGCCGUAAAAAAGUUACGGUUGAAACUCAAGUUAAUCUCAAACGGCGUAAUUGACUUCGUUCCAUCGUGGGCCGAAGUUAAUUAUGGUGAAGAGAGGUGAAAAAAAAAUAAAACAAUAUAAUAGAUAAAGCUAGUUAUAUUUAAAUAUAUUUAAUUAUGUUACUAAUUAUUUUUUUAUUCAGUUAAUAUAUCUAAAAUAUGAUAAAAAUUGAUUAGUUAAGUUUUAAUAUUUUUUUAUUUAGUUUGUACAUUUAAAAUAUGAUAAAAAUUGAUUAAUUAAGUAUUAAUAUUUUUUUACUUUAUAAUUUUAUUAUUGUAUUACUAUAAUUUAUGUAUAAAAAAAUAAUUUAGUUGUUUUAAAUUAAAUUUUAAUUAUAUAAAAAUAUAAUUAUAUUAUUUUUAUUUAUUAAAAUAUUUAUUAUUUAUAUAUAAAUUAUAGUUUUAUAUUAUACAUUUUCUACCAAACGAACAACAAAACUGAUGAAACUUCACUUCUAUAACUACGAAACAAACAGCGGAGAAGAAGUAGUUUUCACCGAGCUCCAGUUCAACCCAAAGUCCAGUUUCGGUGAAACAAACAUGCCCUAAGAGCUCCAAUGAUAUCAUAUUUAUUUAUUUCUAAGGCUAAAUUACAGAAAACCUUUCUAUCAAAACUCAAUUUUUUUAUUUUUUUCCUUGUCAUUUAAAAAACAUACACUUUGCCUCCUUGUAAAAUGAUAAAUGUUCACAGGGGGUACGGUGUGAACUGUGAUGAUAAAAUAAUCAUUUUGUCCCUCACCAUUUUGCCUCUCACCAUGUUCACAGAAGAGAAGGUUGAGGACAUUUUUGCCAUAAAAAAUAUAUAAUAAUAUAUUAUAAACGGAACCCUAACGGAUUACUAACGAUAGGGGGCGAAGUGAAUAUUUUUUAUUUUACAUGGAGGCAAAGUGUAAAUUUUUAAUGACAAAGAGGAAAAGUAAAAAAUCAGAUUUUGACAGAGAUGUUUUAUAUAAUUUAGCCUAUUUAUAAUUAGACAAAAUUUUAUAUAUUAAAAGAUAUAAAAGUAGACAGUAAAUUAUUUGUGAUUUUUUCAUACAAAAUAUUUACUUAGUAACAAAAACUAGAAAGAGUAAAUUUUUUUUUGGCAUCUAAUUUUUUAAAUAAGCUGUCAUCUACGACUUAACCGGAUACAUCAUAAGCUAGCUAAUCACGAUAACAAAAAAGAUUUUUCUUCGGCAUAUUAAAUUAUAUAGAAUUAAUAUUUAAAAGAAUAAAAAAUAAUAAUGAUAUUAAACGAGAUCUAAACUUUUUAAUUAAUAAGCUACUUGGCACUCGAUUCGAAACAAUUAAUUUUGUCCAAACAUGAGGAGGUCAAAGAAAAAAGAAGAAGAGUAGCUGUGAAUGACAAGAGGUAGUCCCAAUAACACGAAAAGAUGAAUGUGCAACGGACUUUGGAGUACAGACAAAAAUUUUAUGGGCAUCGUGAUCAAAUAAUUUGUUUGGGCACGGUGCCCGGAUGGGCGCCGCGUGUGCAGCGAUGCCCAUCCGCACCCUCCCUUCCCCCUCUCUUUCUCUUUGUUCCUAAAAAUCGAGCCCACCAUUUUUUAUUUUUUAUUAUUUUAGGGUGCGGUGGGCGCAGCUACACACGCAACGCCCAUCGGAGCACCGUGCCUAUAAAAUUAUUGUCCUUGGAGUACUAGCUUUGGAUGUAGAUCAAAAGCAUACGCCUUACUUAGCUCAAGAGAGUGAGUUAUAACUUCUAGGCCGUUUUUAAGAUCUAUUUGGAGCUGUAAUUUAUGUUUGCGUCUGCUUUCAAGAGAACAGUUUGACUAGAUGCGGUUGCGCAUGGCUAGACGUGGUGUCUUCCCAGCAAUGAUAAAGAAAAUUUGUACUUUAAUAACUUGUCAGUUUGAAUAUUAAUAAAUCAUUGAGAAUGGCUUCGCAGAUAAGGCUAAUUAUUGUGGCGUGAUUUGACUUUGACUGUAUGUACCACCGAAUAUCUGACGUACAAAAACCAACUGAUUUAAGACAAAUAGGGGCGGCUCCGAAGGAAGCAGUAAGCAUCAAGAUAAAAAAGUUGGAGAUGUGACAGCUGUCAAUACGGAUAAGUAUUGCAAGUUGAGCAUGCACGUAUACGCACCUUAGGAAGAUCCGGCGUGAACCGCCGCGCGAACUCCCGCGCGGCCUCGUCGGCCCUCGGGUGCCUGAUCAGCGCCCGGUCGAACGUCGGCGGCGCCCCGAGCUCGGUGUCGGUGGCCCCGCGGCACUCGGCCGCCCACGCCGCCAGGAACUGCCACACCGCCCGGCCGUCCGCGACAGCGUGGAGGGCCGAGACGCCGACGACCGCCCCGCCGCCGGCGAGCCUCGUGGCCUGCACGGACAGCACCGGCGCCGGCAUCUCAUCCGCGCCGAGCUCCGGCACCAGUCCCCGGAACGCCGCGACGUCGUGCUCCUCGUCGCCGGCGAGGCGGCGGAGGUCGCCGCCGUCGGCCUCGGCCUCGACGAAGGCGACGCCGGGGCCGACGGCAGCGGCGGAGCAGUCAACGGCGACGUCGCCGGUGGCGGGGAGGUAGGCGAGCUUGCCGGCGAGGGGGAAGAAGCGGCGGAGGGUGGCGGAGAGGGAGGAUUUGAGGGAUUGGAGGAGGGCCGGGAAGGGGGGCAGGUCGGGGGAGGGCUCGUNAA